AGAACGAACGCUGGCGGCAUGCCUAACACAUGCAAGUCGAACGAGACCUUCGGGUCUAGUGGCGCACGGGUGCGUAACGCGUGGGAAUCUGCCCUUGGGUUCGGAAUAACAGUUAGAAAUGACUGCUAAUACCGGAUAAUGUCUUCGGACCAAAGAUUUAUCGCCCAGGGAUGAGCCCGCGUAGGAUUAGCUAGUUGGUGAGGUAAAGGCUCACCAAGGCGACGAUCCUUAGCUGGUCUGAGAGGAUGAUCAGCCACACUGGGACUGAGACACGGCCCAGACUCCUACGGGAGGCAGCAGUGGGGAAUAUUGGACAAUGGGCGAAAGCCUGAUCCAGCAAUGCCGCGUGAGUGAUGAAGGCCUUAGGGUUGUAAAGCUCUUUACCCGAGAUGAUAAUGACAGUAUCGGGAGAAUAAGCUCCGGCUAACUCCGUG
rnacentral:rRNA from 1 species